rnacentral:tRNA from 1 species
GGCAACUUGGCCGAGUGGUCAAGGCGCCAGACUCAAGUUCUGGUUCGGAAACGAUCGUGGGUUCGAAUCCCACAGUUGUCA